GAUGAAGAACGUAGCGAAAUGCGAUAAGUAGUGUGAAUUGCAGAAUUCAGUGAAUCAUCGAAUCUUUGAACGCACAUUGCGCCCUUUGGUAUUCCAAAGGGCAUGCCUGUUCGAGCGUCAUUUGUACCCUCAAGCUUUGCUUGGUGUUGGGCGUCUUGUCUCUAGCUUUGCUGGAGACUCGCCUUAAAGUAAUUGGCAGCCGGCCUACUGGUUUCGGAGCGCAGCACAGGUCGCACUCUCUAUCAGCAAAGGUCUAGCAUCCACUAAGCCUUUUUUUCAACUUUUGACCUCGGAUCAGGUAGGGAUACCCGCUGAACUUAAGCAUAUCAAUAAGCGGAGGA
rnacentral:misc_RNA from 1 species